rnacentral:misc_RNA from 1 species
AACUCCAGAAAACAAAUCUCUUACUAAAAAUUGUAGGCAAAAUGGAGGCUAUUGGUGUUCUAAAGGAAAACGCACUGCGGCUGGUUUCGGCUGGGCAACCCAUUAGCGCGCUGCAUUUGGUUGAAGUACUCUGCGAGCUGCAGCCGAACAGCGACGAAAACCGUUCCUUGAAAAUUCGGUGUCUUUACGAACUGCGUGAGUUUGACAGCGUGUUAAAGCUAGCCAAGCAGAUGACUUUUGCGUGCGAUCAAAACAGCGAGGUGUUUUUGCUGGCUGUGAAGGCUGCAUUCGAGCUUGGGGAUCUCAAGACAUGCGUUCAGUACGCAAUGACUCUCAUCAACGCUGAUUCAUCGAAGGUGGUUGCGAUGUGCUUUGUAGCCAAAGCUGCUGAACUGUCCGGCGAUCCCGCGAAAGCUGUGCGUUUUUACAAAAUGGCUCUUGAGGCUGACCCAUUUUGCGGCGAAGCAUUCAGCGCACUGACAGAGCGUCAUCUUCUAGAUCGCUGGGAGAUGCUGAAGCUGAUAGAUUCACUUUGCAUACCAGCCGAGGUCGAAGUCUAUCGAAGCACUCUGAAAGCACGUAUCGGCUCUGAUUAUCUCACACCUGGUAUCAGCGGUGUGCCUCGGACGCUGGUGCUGCUUGCCGGAGCGAAAAAAGAAUAUGAGAGCAACAAUUUGCGCCAGGCACUCUCGUUGACGACGGAAAUUCUGGAGGUGGAACCAUAUCACCGCCAGACAUUGUGUCUGCAUCUGUGCAUCCUUGUGGAUUCAAAGGCAACACCACUGCUUUUCGAAAAAGCACACUUUCUUUCCAAGAACAAGUGCUACACGGAGCUGGCAGUGUACGCAAUCGGGUGCUUCUAUUACUCUCUAUCGAACUACGAGCGAGCGGGGCGGUACUUUAGCCGCGCAAGUGAACUAGACUGCUAUUUCGCUGAAGCGUGGAUUGCAUACGGUCACUGCUACGCAAAGCUGGAGGAGGGCGAGCAAGCUCUGAAUGUCUAUCGCCGCGCGAUGAACUUUUUUCCUGGGCUCAACGCGUGUUGUACGUACGUUGGUAUGCAGUACAGUAGGGUUAACCAGCGCUCCGUUGCGCGGUGCUUUUUUGAGGAGUCACUGCGAAAAAACUCUAUGGAUCCCCUUGUGCUCAACGAGCUGGGCGUUCUGGCGCUUGCAGAGGAUAAUCCUAAACAAGCACUCGAGCUAUUUCAAAGAGCGUACGACAGUCUUCCGAAUCGCGAGAAUCCGUCUGAACACAGCGAUUGCAUCCUGUUUAAUUUGGCCACCAUGUACCGCAAGCUGCGCCGCUACGAAGCCGCCAUUGAUUACUACAAUCAAUACGUCAGAAGUCGACCAAAUGCCAGCCACGGUCACUGCGCUCUUGGCUUCACGUACCAUCUCUCAGGAAACAUCAAGGCUGCUAUCAGCUGCUAUCACACAGCAGAGAGCAUCAAACCAGACUCAUUUUGCCGAGAUCUGCUGCGGAGAGCACUCGAACUUGACUUUGGAGCUCGCGGAAGGCUCUCGUGGGAUUCUGAGAGGCCGCAUUUAUCCUUCUCACCCGGAGAAGUCUCUUUUUCGACAGUUUCGCGAAGGUUUCGCUCUGAGUCGACCGCAGCAGACAGCGUAGCCGCCUCUCCACCACCUAGAGUCGGUCGCAGUCUAGAUUUUCAGCAUCAAUGACAUCAUUACAUGCAAAAAUAAAAUUACCUUCUCGAUGCGAUACCCCUCUUCUCGCAGCGCAUAAUGCUGCUUGUUUCACACGCUCGUUCUCGAUACCGUGAUGCCUUCACACUCUGAGCCCGUCGAAGUGUCAAGGACAGCAUCCUUAAAUCUCAAAUGUGCUCGUCUGCAUGUCCUUUCUCUUCAACCUCACAUCUUCUCCUUUUUCAUCUUCAG